rnacentral:lncRNA from 1 species
GAAGAGACGCACAAAGAGGGAAGCAGAAGAAAAAAAAGAAUUAGUAAAGGAGGAGGGAAGAACGUCUGUUGUGAAGAGAGACAAAGCCGAAAGAAACAAAAAAUAUAGUAAUCGCACACCUAGCAAUAUUUGGCAAAAGCUUUCGGGAAAAAAAAAGAAAGAAACUGAGAAGAGUAAAUUAGAAAAAUAAGAAUGAAUCGAUAGGGAUGGAAAGUAAAAAAUCGGUAGAGAGAACUAGAAGGGUGUGGCAGCAGCAAAUUGAAAAAAGAAAAAAGAAAAGACUAUCAAAAUCGAAAUUGGGAAAAAAUGAGGGGAGGGAGCCGAAUUCUACAUCCCACCAAUUCGAGAUAACCUCCUCAAUCCUAUAAUCUUCUACUAAAAUCCAUCUUCAAAUCUCUCCACCUGAUCACACCUCCCCUCAACCACUCAAUUUGAAUUCCCCUCAACCACUUUAGUGUUUCAGUCAAACUCU